UCGUUUUUUUUUUUCCAUUAUCUCUCAAUUAAGGAUGCACCUCGAGCUACUGCUAAUCUACGUUUAAGAAGUCUGAUCCAGUUUAAUUAACUAAGCACAACGGUGAACUUUGCACGGGGCAAAUUUAAAGAAAUCCACAAUUGAAUUGACAUUUAUCUAUUUUUUAAUCUUUAAAUAGUGUGUAUGUAUUGAUGUUUGAAUCAGUUAUUUAUCAACUUCACCUGUUGAAUGUAACUAUUAGAACUUUUAGAACUUUAGUUCCUAAGUGUAUUAAGAAACAGCAGUUUUAAAACAAGAUGACCGACUUCAAAAAGUUAACAGCCGUGAAACUUGUUGUCUUGUAUCUGAUUGGACAAUCCUUCAACCUAGCCGCGUCCCAGUCGUCGACAACAGCGACCCCUGACGCCAAAACUAAAAGGUUCCACGACGCCAUCAUGUCUUGUACCGACCUGUGCCAGUUCGCCGUCCGGACAUGUUUGAAUGCGACGUCUCAAGUCCGAUACCUGAUGGCCAAGGAACGAUACUGUGACGUCAUAAACCUGACUUCCGAAGGUGUAGUUAUACGCCAAUGUCUGACUCAGGUGUAUGCCUGCACACAGAGUGAGUUUAACGUGAUCAAGGCCGCUGCUUGUAGUGGUGCCAAGUCUAUGUUUGUGUUGGCUCUGUCUACGGGUGUGGUGACUCUCUCUACGGGUGUGUUGGCUCUGUCUGUGGUUUUCAUGGCUCUCUCUAUGGUUGUGAUGGCUCUGUGCUUUAGUUGUGGCUGUGUGUUUCAGUAACGUGUCCCCCGCCUCACCCCCACCCCAGUCACCAUCAAAGACAUACAUAAACACGUACAACUUUAAAUAUAAAAUUACAUAACCAGUGACUCGCCAACAUGUCAUAUGGCCACGCCAUACAUACAGCAAACGUCAUGCCCCAUGGCCAUGACGUACAAUGAACGUCACGUCAAAUAAGAUUACCUUACAGCAAAUACAUACAACAUUCCUAUGCCGUACAACAAACGGCAGACCACCUGACCACGCCGUACAGUAAAUAUCAUGCCGCAUGGUAGGAGAUUAAAUACUUUCCUCUUAUUUCUUUGACAUCACAUUAAAAUGGAACAAUUACAAAUU